CCACACAACCCUGGCCUGGAGGAAACAGCCUGGCAAGCUUAAGCCUAAGCGGGCGCCAGCAGAGCCACCCAGGUGUCGCUGCCGAAGGGAGCCCAGGAAAGGAUGGGAGCAGAGAGAAGGAAGCCCUGAGCCAGUCUCAGAAAGUGCUCAGGGAAAAUCUUCUGGAGAUGGCCACACUUCAACUGAGUUCUGGAGAUGCGGUUCCAGUUGAGCCUUAGUUCUGGAGUUGCCUUACAUAUUCCCCUCAUUUGCAAAUAAGCAAAUUGAACACCAGCAUUUGCCUCAGACUCCUCCAAGAAUUCCAUUAACACAUCAGCAAAAACAACUUUUAAGACAUUAACCCAUAAAAUAAAGACAAUAAGAGUUCGAACUCUAAGUUCCACAGCAAGAACUUUGGAAGUUAGAAAGCAGAAAAACAGCUAGUUGCUGACUUAGCAGCCAGAAAAGUCAUGUCUAAAUCACCUGUGAACAAAAGAUUUUACAAUUUUACAAAGCUCUCAAGAAUUGGCUAAUCCAGUGCCUCCAAAAGUUGGAGUACAGAGAGGGCUGGAAGCUGAAGGGGUCUCCAAAAGGCUGUCUGAGAGGUAUCAAAGCCCUCAUUUCCACUACCCUGCAAGGCAGGGAAACCCCUCAUCAACCUCAAGAGGAGACUGGAAUUUUAUUUUCUGAAGAGAUAAAGACAGAGUUUCUGAAUUGAAGGACAUGAGUCAAAAUAGAUCAUGAGGAGACCACACAGAAAACAGGAAAUAAAGGCAAUUUUAUGUGCUGCAUAUUGAGACUGCCCCAGCCUCUUCACCUGCAGAGGGCAGGUAGACAGAUCUGUAGCUCUCAGGUAGAUUCAAGGACUAUUCUCUGGGAAAUCUGAUCAGCC